rnacentral:rRNA from 1 species
GACGAACGCUGGCGGCAGGCCUAACACAUGCAAGUAGAACGAGUGGCGGACGGGGGAGUAAUGUCUGGGAACCUGCCUGAUGGCGGGGGAUAACUACUGGAAACGGUAGCUAAUACCGCAUACCAUCGGAUGUUCCCAGAUGGGAUUAGCUAGUAGGUGGGGUAAAGGCUCACAUAGGCGACGAUCCCUAGCUGGUCUGAGAGGAUGACCAGCCACACUGGAACUGAGACACGGUCCUGACUCCUACGGGAGGCAGCAGUGGGGAAUAUUGCACAAUGGGCGCAAGCCUGAUGCAGCCAUGCCGCGUGUAUGAAGAAGGCCUUCGGGUUGUAAAGUACUUUCAGCGGGGAGGCGUUACCCGCAGAAGAAGCACCGGCUAACUCCGUGCCAGCAGCCGCGGUAAUUC